ACUGGAUACUUACUAGCAGGAUCUGCCAUUGGACCCAGUCACCCAGAGGCUUGAAUUUUGUCAGUGAAAUAGUCCAAGAGGCUUGUCUUUAUUCCUAUUUUGCUUGAUUGAUUCUUUCUUUGCGCUUCCCCUAUUGACUGUUUCUUCAGGAUUAUGUUUUCAGUUGUUCCAUUUGCAGAUUCAAAAUCAUGAAUACUCAUGUUAUACUAGAUUCAAAAUCACGAAUACUCAUGUUAUACUAGUUCGGUCUUUUGCCAUUCGGUAUAGGGCCUUGGAUUACAAGUUGUGAAAUAUUUGGCUGCCAAAUAUGAAGAGCUAGGGUGUGAAGUGAAAUGGAUGGGCAAGCCUGAUAAGGUGAUCUAGUCACAUUGGUCUGGUUACCGCUGUUAACUUCACUUCAUGUGAACCUUUAGCUUAAUACAUAUUUCUCUUGCACUUGACUACCAAGAUGAAUUUUGAGCAAGGCUAUUUUUUUGCUUUGAAGCAAAGCUUGGUGUAGAAAUUUUGUAGAUUGUUGCUCAUAUGUUUCUAGGAUAUCCUUUGUAGGUUUUGGGGUUUUCUUUUGUGACAUAUGUUCAAUCAUGAAUUUGGAAAGAAAAUUAAUGGAAAGCCCUAAUUUUUGGA